GUACACACCGCCCGUCAAGUCACGAAAGUUGGUAACACCCGAAGCCGGUGGCCUAACCCCUUGUGGGAGGGAGCCGUCGAAGGUGGGACUGGCGAUUGGGACUAAGUCGUAACAAGGUAGCCGUACCGGAAGGUGCGGCUGGAUCACCUCCUUUCUAAGGAG
rnacentral:rRNA from 1 species